UGGGGGAGACCAGUACUAAUGCUAAUAAAUCAAUAAAAUGAGUGGAGAAGCGAAGAGAAAGAAGGCAAGGCAAUAAUACUGGGUCAGAUUGAGAAUUCGAAGAAACAACAACAGCACCACGUUAUGUAGAGUAGAGGAGGCAAUGGCAUGUGCCCACAUGGCUUAUUGUAGCUGGACACAAGAACAAUAAAUACUCCCUACGUUCUUAUCUGUUUUUAACCUAAAGUACAAGACUGCCACUCGGUUUUUCUUAGAGAGAGAAAGCGAAAGGAAAGAAAGCAGAAGUCUUUCUUUUUUGGGCAAAAAAAUGAAGGAAAGCAGUGAUGGGUUUGUGAGAGCAGAUCAGAUUGAUCUCAAAAGUCUAGAUGAACAAUUGGAGAGGCAUCUCAAUAGAGUAUUGACUCUUGAAAACAAGAACAAGAGAGAUGAUGAUGAUGGUGAUGUUGUUGUUACUGCUAAUCCCACACCUACGCCUUCCACCACUAGAACCGCCCCUUUCAAGAAGCAGAGGCAGGAAUGGGAGAUCGACCCUUCUAAGCUCUCCAUCAAGACUGUAAUCGCUCGUGGUACUUUUGGCACUGUCCACCGUGGCGUCUACGAUGGCCAGGAUGUCGCCGUUAAACUGCUUGACUGGGGUGAAGAGGGUCAAAGGACAGAAGCUGAGAUUGCGGCACUAAGGGCAGCUUUUACUCAAGAAGUUGCUGUUUGGCAUAAGCUUGAUCAUCCAAAUGUUACUAAGUUUAUAGGGGCAACAAUGGGCUCAGCAGAGCUACAAAUACAAACUGCGAAUGGUCAAAUUGGGAUGCCAAAUAAUAUAUGUUGUGUUGUUGUGGAGUAUCUUCCUGGGGGUGCCUUGAAAUCAUACCUUAUAAAAAACAGGAGAAGAAAGCUAGCUUUUAAAGUUGUCGUUGAGCUGGCACUUGAUCUUGCAAGAGGGUUAAAUUACCUUCAUUCUCAGAAAAUCGUUCACAGAGAUGUAAAGACUGAAAACAUGCUAUUGGAUAAGACACGGACUGUAAAAAUUGCUGACUUUGGUGUUGCUCGUAUUGAGGCGUCAAAUCCUAAUGAUAUGACUGGGGAGACAGGAACACUCGGAUACAUGGCUCCUGAGGUUCUCAAUGGCAAUCCAUAUAACAGGAAAUGUGAUGUGUACAGUUUCGGCAUCUGUUUAUGGGAGAUAUAUUGCUGUGACAUGCCUUAUCCUGAUCUUAGUUUUGCAGAAGUAACUUCAGCUGUGGUCCGCCAGAAUCUAAGACCAGAGAUUCCAAGGUGUUGCCCAAACUCUCUAGCAAAUGUAAUGAAGCGUUGCUGGGAUGCUAACCCUGACAAGCGCCCUGAGAUGGAUGAGGUUGUCUCCAUGUUGGAGGCCAUUGACGUAACAAAAGGCGGAGGCAUGAUCCCUCCUGAUCAACAAGGGGGUUGUUUUUGCUUCCGCAGGAAUCGAGGCCCUUGAAGGAUAUGAACAAUUGUGAUAGUUUGUUUCAAGGUUUUUGACGGUCCAACAUAAACCUUGAAGACAAAGGAGAUAUAUGAUACAUGUUGGAUAUAGGGUGAGGGGCUGUCACAUCCAACUUUGUCGAGGGUAAAAAUAGAAGGGCGUGUUAAUAGGGAAAGGACAUGGUGUGUGUAUGCACACUUCCAGUUGGUGGUGUUGGUGCAUCAAGACAGAUAAUUGACCUAUCGAAAUCUUUUAAUUAGUUUUGGUUGAAAUUAUGAUUGCUUAGUAUGCUAGGAGACUCUGGUUACAGGUCAAGAUGCUAAACCACCUCCUGUCUACCAACUUAUCUCUUUUUGUGUUGUUUCCAUGGCCACAGAACUAAUAGCUCAAGUAGUGCUUUUGAUAAGAAA